ensembl:lncRNA
AACCUAGCAUUUACACACAUUCUUUUUCUGUUUUCAUUUCCUCUAAGUAAGCUUCAUUUUGUGUUCUCCUGUUAGCCUGAUCUUCAUUGUCUCCUCUAUUAAGCACUAAAACAAAGUGUCCAUAUAGUUUCUGAUUUCUUCCUCCUACCAUCAGAACUGACAUGGGAGAAAUUACCUCUAAUCUAGUAGAACUGGCCAUCUAAAUCAGAUGUUUUCUAAAUUGGUUGUUACAAUUCGCUUCCAAGGAGAUUAUGCUUUCUCUGCUGGUUCAUUCAUGUAGUCUCCCUUCCUCUUCCUACUUACUAAGAGUAGCUGUGAAGCUUUGAUCUCCACUCCUCCAGCUUUUAACCUUGCUCCAGUAUUCCACCUCCUCCUUGAUGUUACAGGAGUAAGUGGCAUCCAGCUUGAAAUACUAACAUGCUCGUACAUCAUCUGGCUGUUGCUUCAGAUCCUCCUGAGCAUCUUGCCCAGAAGUGACCUCCAGAAUGCCUAUGUGCUAGUACAGAUUAAAUGUUCAGACAAAACGUGUGAGCAACAGAGGAGACUGUGCUGUAUGAAGCUGUUCUCCAAGGACAUUCUUCCACUUGUCCCUUCCACAAGAUCUGAAGAAACAUCUGGACAAGGAUUCAUCACGUGACUUUAAAUAUGCUGAUAUUUGACUUCAGUGACAUGUUCUGAUGUCCCUUCAAAAUGAAGCACCUACCAAAUGAGGAUUUAAUUUAGAUUUAUGAGUGUGUUUAUCGUCUAUUAAUGAAGUACUACAUAAUAACUCAAACCACAUUUAUUGAGGCUGUUGUGAUUAUGUAACGGGGUAUUAUGUUUCUAAUAAUUAGCUGGCACCAUUCAAUUACAUAUGAAUUAAAGCAGUUGCUGAGUUUACUGAGGAGCCAGGAGUUGUUCUUAGCAUGAUUUUGGUGUUGGCAACUUCGUGCUCAGGAGGUGAGGUUUUAUGCUAGGUGACAGCUGCCCAUACUUUUGCCUUAUGUCUUCAUACUUGGCAUGCAAAGGUCAUCCUGAAAAUGGGAGACCAAGAAAUCUGGAUAUCAGGGAUUCAGGAAUAGGGAGGUGGGGACAC